CCAUGUGGUUGCCGGGAAUUGAACUCAGGACCUUUGGAAGAGCAGGCAAUGCUCUUAACCACUGAGCCAUCUCUCCAGCCCACAUUGUGGCAUUUUUCAAGAGCACAGAAUAGGAAAUUCACACAAAUGAAAAGGAAGUAACAGAGAAGGAAGUCACUCUUCACUUGUUGCCAGGUGAACAACUGCUUUGUGAAGCCAGCACAGUCCUGAAGUAUGUGCAGGAAGAUU